AUAUUUCUUCGGGGUCGGGUGAAAGUCCCAAUCGGCGGUGACUAGUUUACUAGAAGUCCGUGAGCGCAAGCUGAUCUGGUGAAAUUCCAGAACCGACAGUAUAGUCUGGAUGGGAGAAGAAAUUA
rfam:Gemella haemolysans ATCC 10379 ctg1119035638549, whole genome shotgun sequence.